rnacentral:tRNA from 1 species
UGGCAUGUAGUUCAACGGCAGAACACCCGCCUGUUACGCGGAUAGAUGUGGGUUCGAGUCCCACUGUGCCAGCCA